CUACGGGCGGCUCCAGUGAGGAAUAUUGCACAAUGGGGGGAACCCUGAUGCAGCAACGCCGCGUGGAGGAUGACGCAUUUCGGUGUGUAAACUCCUUUUAUAUGUCAAGAAAAUGACGGUAGCAUAUGAAUAAGCACCGGCUAACUCCGUGCCAGCAGCCGCGGUAAUACGUGAGGGUGCAAGCGUUACUCGGAAUCACUGGGCGUAAAGGACGCGUAGGCGGGUUGGAAAGUCAGGUGUGAAAUCCUACAGCUUAACUGUAGAACUGCACUUGAAACUUCUAAUCUAGAGUAUGGGAGGGGGAGAUGGAAUUAGUGGUGUAGGGGUAAAAUCCGUAGAUAUCACUAGGAAUACCUAAAGCGAAGGCGAUCUCCUGGAACAUUACUGACGCUAAGGCGUGAAAGCGUGGGGAGCAAACAGGAUUAGAUACCCCCGUAGUC
rnacentral:rRNA from 1 species